CAGACCGGUCAGCUUAACUUCAGAACCCAGACAGCUAAUGAAGCAAAUAAUGAAGCAAUCAGUUUGCAAAUACCUAGAAGACAAUAAGGUGAUAAGUAACAGUCAGCAUGGGUUUGUCAA